rnacentral:rRNA from 1 species
UACAGAGGUCUCAAGCGUUGUUCGGAUUCAUUGGGCGUAAAGGGUGCGUAGGCGGCGCGGUAAGUCGGGUGUGAAAUCUUGGAGCUUAACUCCGAAACUGCAUUCGAUACUGCCGUGCUUGAGGACUGGAGAGGAGACUGGAAUUUACGGUGUAGCAGUGAAAUGCGUAGAUAUCGUAAGGAAGACCAGUGGCGAAGGCGAAUCUCUGGACAGUUACUGACACUGAGGCACGAAGGCCAGGGGAACAAACGGG